GUCUUUUUUCCCCUAACAUUUAAAACAACACGUUAGGCCUUUUAAGUGUUUGCCAAAGAACCUGGAGUUUUACUGGAGUCUUGACUAACCUGCUGAACUUUUCAAGCUGAAACCCUGAGGGUUACAGUAUAAAAAUUUAGAACCUACUUAGAGCAGCAGUCUCCUCAUGCUGUUACUGGUCUCCUUAAAGUCAGAAACAAGAUCUACAGCUGCUGCUGUCGGUCACCUGAGAGACCAGGCUGAGGCAGCCCAGCGACCUCCCAAGGAGCCUUUUAAUUACUAGGUUCAAGUGUGGUUUGCAGUGAACGUGGCGAAGGAGGUGUGGGCUGCUGUGCAGUGAGGCAGAGGCAGAGCACUCAGUGCGCAUUUGUGCCCUGCCUGUUCCUCCUGGCAACUCCAGGAUGUCAUCAGCCUUGCAGGGAGGGGGCUCACCUUCUUAGUGUGGGAAACUGGCCCCAGGGCAUACCCCCUUGAGCGUUUCGUAGUUAGAAACUUGUGUGCAGCUUCCCAAGGGACCUUCCUGUGUACAGAUGUCCACUCUGUGGAAAAGGAUACAAUGGGAAGCUUCCAGUGUCCUGUGCAGCUUCUUAGAUUCCAUUUGGGAUUCACCUGGAAAAAGCAAUGCCUUACCCCUUGAAGUUUCUCCAUUUAAACUCCAGUUAGGUAAAGGGGAGAAAAGUAGAAAUAUUCACCUUUUGUGUUCCCCAUCUUUUAAUUUUUUGUUGUUUCGGUUAAUAAAAAUAACAUAUUCAGCAUGAGAAUUUGGAAAAUGCAGAAAAGUAGAAGACAAUUAAGCCCCCAGCCCCCCACUCGAUGCUGUGGUAACAAGCAUUCUUGCUCUGCGGCCAACCUCAUACCCUGUAUGCAGCUUGUAUCCUGCCUUUUCCCCUUUUAGAAACUCUUGGCCAAAUAAUCUUAACCAUAAGCAUAGUAUUUCAUAUUAAAAUUUUGUUGGUUUUCUUUUAAAACAUUGUUUUUAAUAUCUUUUGCCAGGUCAGCUUCAAUAAGAUAUAAUUGUACCCAAUGAAGGUCAUCACUUUCAGGAAGCAUCUGGACGAACAGUCCUGCCACGCUCUUUGAAGUUCCCGACACAUGGUAACCAAGACCUGAGGGCAGCAAACCGCUGGUGCUGUCUCUGUGAGCAAGAGCCGGGUGGCACAUUUGGAAGCCAUACUGUAUUUAACUUAAUCAAAUGUGGUAUGGGAGGGGUUGGAAACCAAGUUGUCUCCUGGGGGGAAGAAAAGACAGGUUUUAUUUUUGUGGCUGUGUUUUUUUCCCUUUUUAAUCUAACUGCCUGUUGAUGUUGACACUCAUCAGGGUUGUAGGCUGUCAUGAAUGUGUACGUGCUUAACCAGUGAAUUCCAUGUUGCUCGUGUGAGGCCUUUCCUGUCAUGACCCACUGUGCUUAAGAACCUGCCUGAUGGGGAGUGUCGGCUGUGAAAUCUGCAAAAAGAGCUGACGUUCCGGCUGCCGUGAUCAUGAAUUGGGGGUGUACUCUCCUGCCUGUGCAUCUUCUCGCGCUGAGAUUUUGAGGCGGUUGCAGCCCUCGGUUAGUCUCCCAGUGGAGAGAAAUCAGUUGUGCCUCCCUGCUUCCCACCAUAGCUGCCUGAAAACAUGACGCUCUUACGCUUGUCCUUCCAUCAGGAAGGUGUCCACUCACGCCCACCCAUGAGGGGGCUUGCCGUAUGCCCUGGCCUUUGGGCAUAUUUAUGUAGAGUUCCUUUCUCCUAAGACGUGAGUUUCUGAUGGGGGAUGUACGAGUAAAAAGGUUAACUUCUGUUCUUAUGCGUGGCGCUGUGUUCACUUUCCAGAGUCUGUUUGGAUGGCGGUCUCGGGGUACGGCAGCGUGUGUGUGUAUGUGUGUUUGUGUGUGUGUGUGUGUGUGUGAAAUCGUGCAAAUCUACAUGUCCCAGCCCAUUCUCUGUUGAAACAGAUCACAGCAACGACAAACACUCAUGGCGCCGCUUCACUCCACCCGCUUCAGAUAGAUCAUUGUUAGAUAUUUCACAUUUUUGUAUGGUGGAAAUAAAAAUGAAAAAUGUAUUUCCAAAAGAUGAAAAUUAAAGACAUUUUCAUAGGA